ACUAGGUCCUGUAGACCUGAGCUGUGCUAACCAAGAGCGCCAAUAUCAUUGCCGCUCUCAUUACGGCUCCGAAUGUGAAAUUUGACAUACAGGUGAGCCAGGCUCCAUUGCCGUGACACGGCAGGAUUUUAUACGUUCCCAUAGCAAUGUAGAGUGACCAAUAAUAUAAACGUGCCCAACCUGAUCAUGUCUAAAAGGUGUUUUGCCAAACAGAUUCAUUUAAAAUAAUUCGUUUUUGUCACUUGUCAUGUUCUGAGCUGAAUUAGUAGGCUAUCUGAGAUUUGAAGGUUGAAUGUGGUAUGGGGAAAAUUUAAAGGAUGUACGGCUGUAAAAUAUGAAGAGAUCCUGUUGAACAAAGUCUAUUUUUAGGGCUGUUUGUACUCUCAUUCUGACGGCACCCAUUCACUGCAAUGGUUCCAUUGGUGUGCAAGUGAUAUAAUGCUAAAUUUCUUCUUCUGAUGAUGAAAGAAACUCAUCUACAUCUUGGAUGGCUCGAGGGAUGCUCACAGUGAUAAUCAGUGCACUGUUGGAUAAUGCAUAUCCUGUCAGACAAGUCUGCUUUUGCUUGUUGGAGUGAAACUUUCCAGACGCUGGCUGACGGAGAAGGUCAAGAAAGUUGCUAAAUACUGCAGCUGAUCAAAGGCUAAUGUCUCUCCUCGUCUCUCUCCUUAUUGUCACCGCUGUUCAGAGGUUGGCCUUUCUCUUUGCUGGUCCACAUGCAUCUAGUCUUUACUCUGUCUCCAGGAAUACAGCUUUUGUAGAGAACAAGGCUCAUUUGUCAAACACUGUUAGCGGCUCCCUGGCAAAUGUUUUACCCUUUUAUCUUUGUUCAAAAGGAGAUUUGCUGUCGCACUUCCAUAUUUAAGCUGUCAUGGCGUUCCUUUUUUUGUAGCCUGCACUUUGUGAGCCAAGUUUAAACAAGAGUGGUGGCUUAGAAAAAUAAGAAAGCAAUUUGCUGUUCCAACAAAUGGCUGAAUUACGAAGAUCCACACUGCAGGCGUGUACAACGCUUUGAAGUGUCAGGGAAUUGACAAUGCUCUCUAGAGUGUUGCCCUUUUUUCUGCUCGCCUUUUUUCCUCUGUUGAGAGAGUUUGUAGCAUCUCAAGUGAUAAUCCAGCUCCACGCCAUUGUAUGAAUCUCUAAUGACCCAAGGAUGUUCUUUGUUAGCAGUCUAUGCUAGCUGUAUUGAUGCUGCAGUAUUUAUUUAAAGCCUGUUAACCACUGGAGACAUUUUUAUUGAUGUUUACAAUUACUGCCAUUCAGUUAUUAGUUAUUUGUUGUGAGGAUUGUGCUGUUUAACAUUGCCGUCAGGGUACAUUCAAAUAUUGUUAAAGCCUCAAAGUAAAUGGCAACAUUUCCUUUAGUGUUUCAAAUAAUACAAUUAAAAUAUUAAAUAAAAAACCUAU